ACCCUGUACCUUUGCUCCUAAGCAGGAAGAUGGGCUUCUGACCAUGUCCUGCUAGAGGACACUGAAAGUGCAAGCCUUGGGCUUUAACCAGGCAAUGUUCUCAUCCAUAUGAGCAAGGGCUUCAUGUUACUGGCCGUGGCCCUGUGCUGAGUCCUCCUCCCGCCCAUGGCCCUCUCCUCCUGGCCAGUGGUCCUCUGCCUGAACAUGGCCGACUUUGUCUUCAGUUUCCUCUGCAUUAGCAUUGGGCUCCUGAUUUCUCUUCAGCCUGACGCUCUUUUCAGUUAACUGCAAGGCGGUGCACCCGAGUCCAGUGGCGUCCUACCUGGUGACCUCCUACCUGUGCUGGGACGCCAGCGACUUGAUGCUGCACACCGCAGGGCGCAGCGAGGCGGACAUCCAAACAGCGGAACUCAGACACAGACUCCGAGCACACCCCGGGCCUUCCCAUUUCAUACACCCUCGAGGAUGAGACCCAAGCACCUCCAAGGAAUAGCACCCGAGCUCUUCAGGACACUGACCGGUGGCCAUGGCCAGAUGCCCGGCCAACCCCUUCAGCGUGGCCACGCCCCGGAUAUUCGACCUCCCCUGAGGCCCCACCCCCUGAUAUCAGGCCACGCCCCCCAAGGGGACCGGUGGCAAACUCCAACCCUCGCUCUAGGGCCCGCCCUUUGCGGCUUUGUCCCUGCCCACUGGGUCCUCACAGUACCUCCACCCCAGAAGUCCAGCAUCCCCUCCCGUUCUGCAGACACUUGUCCAGUGUCCUGCUAAGCUCGGCAGUGUGGCUAGUUUGUGUGGCCCUGCCCCUGGUGCCCAGCCUUCGCAGGCCACACCCUGAAGCCACUCUCCACCCCCUCAGCC
rnacentral:lncRNA from 1 species